rnacentral:tRNA from 1 species
GUGUGUAUAGCUCAGUGGUAAGCGCGUGCCUAGCAUGCAUGAGGUCCUGGAUUCAAUCCCUAGUACCUCCA